UGAAUUGGCUGCCCAUUGUUUCUGCCAAAACCGGCUUCCCUUUUGUGUUUAAAUGCCUCAACAGACAGGGUGGUUGAGGAACACAAAAGCUCUAAUUCAGUGUGAUUGGGUGGGUUGGAAAUCUGGAAUGUCUGAUGUAACAUCAGAAACACAGGAUGAACGCGAUGCUUGUGAUCAGAUGACCCGUAGAUGGUCCCAAUAUCGGAUCAAUGAUUUACCAGAGAGUUUUCCCUAUGAACCCCAUACAAAAAAAAAAAAAAAACAAUUGUGUGGAGUCAAAGCUGUAAAAGAGUUCAUACAUUCAGCAUGGACAACAAUCAAAGCAGGCACCUGAGGCAUUCCAAGUUGUUGGUGAUCAUUCACAGGCUGGUGAGCUAGAAAUCGGGAGAGUGGUAGGCACUCUGUAGAAUUGAUCAUGGGUUAAUGAACCCAUGAAUGGAAUUCACAACCCAAUGGACUUGCUGGUCACUUGGAGGUCUGUUGGCUUUGCUUUAAUUGCAAAGACUACGAGGUCCCAAGAUCGACUGGCAUCAAAAGUAAGAAGCAAAAAUGGACUCGAGACAACGUGGGAGGGACUUACAGGUAUUUGUUACAGUCUGCCAGUCAGCUGGCAUGGCAACUAGUCUACCUUUGGGAUGCUGAUGCCCUACAGCUGGAAGCCUAGUGUUUACAGCACAGUAGGGAUGGGUUGAUGAAUUCAUAAAUGCAGCUCACAACAAGGAAAUUGUCGAGAACUCGAGAUGGAUCAAUGAUUUACCAGAAUAGAGACAUGAAUAAGUUCUGUUAUUAUCUUUUUUUUUCUUACAAAACUAUGGGAUUUGCCAUUUUGUCUGGAUAAU